rnacentral:tRNA from 1 species
AACAAGACGGAAGAGAGUCACUCUUACCGUCGCGCAUACACAAAGCGGUUCUGCCGCCUUCGUUUCUCUUUCUUCAGCGAAUGACUUUGACUUGCGCUCGCGCGCCGUACCGCAGCCCUUUGGGCUGCUGGCGCUCCGCGAGGGCGCGGCACGAGCCGCGACGGCCGGUCGGCCUUGCGAGACGUGCGUCUCGUUGGCGAAAGCCGAUUUAAGGCGCAGUCUAAGGGCUUGUAGCUCAGUUGGUUAGAGCGCGCGCUUGAUAAGCGUGAGGUCGGAGGUUCAAGUCCUCCCAUGCCCACCACUUCCUUUCGACACGAAGGUUAUCAGGGGCCGUAGCUCAGCUGGGAGAGCGCCUGCUUUGCAAGCAGGAUGUCGUCGGUUCGAUCCCGUCCGGCUCCACCAACCAUCUUCUGUGAAGGUGGGACGUGUAGAGUAGAGAUGAUCGCCGGUGGUCAGUCAUUCGAAAAGAGUUUGCGCCGAGCUAACGCUCUGCGCCUGUUCUGUUUGACAUCGUAAAGAGAAGAUUUGUUCGAACUUCAUGAUCCGAAAGGGCCAUGAUUUGUCGCAAGGGACGCUCAAUCCCUUGCCUAUGAUGGGUCUGCCUAACCGCGCCCUCGAACGGAUCUCGAGAAGCUGGUCUUUUUGUG